GAACUGUCUUUCUUUUGUGCAUUUCCUGUAUUUUCAAAAAGAAGAAGAAAAGCAGACACACAGUGCUCCCCUGAGCAUGCACACACACACACACACACACACACACACACACACACACACACACACACACAGCUGCAGGGGCUCCUUCAACCUAAAUGAGAGCAUUAAGGAGAGAUAAGGAGGGACUAAGGGAGGAAGAGGGAGAGAGAAAGAGGGAGAGAGGGAGGGAGAGAGACAGAGAAAACAGAGAGAGAAUAUGAUUUUAAUUUGUUAACAUUUCUGAAUCCAGAUAAAACAAACUUUGCCACCCAGCUGCUGGACAGAAGCCCCGAGCCACAGGGGAAAACAUCAGCCAAUGAGAACAGAAUUGCUGAACCCAAACUGAUAGCUUACACUGUGUGUCCACACACAGAUUACAAGAGAGGAAUUAAACACUUCAAAAGAGCUACUGCAAAGUAAACCUCUCCUCCCCACACUUUCCACCACACACACACACACACACACACACACACACAGACACACACAGACACACACACACAGACACACACACACACACACACACACACAGACACACACACACACACAGACACACACACACACACACAGACACACACACACACAGACACACACACACACACACACACUAUUCAGAGCUUUUGAGUGUCUGACUGAAAAAAACUGACAAAAGUUGAAGGUUUGGAAAGGGUCCGCGCUAGGCUGUGUGAUGUCAGCUUCCAGAGGCAGUCCUAAGAACAUCACCUCACGCUGAAUUCAAAGGCCACCUAGUCUGGAAAAGGUCUUGGAGUUAGGCAGACUUUGAAAACAUUUUUUUUUUUUUUAAAUGGCGAAAUGUGACUCUUAGAAAUUUCCCAUUUAACCUAAUCCUUUUUCUUUGCCUCUACCGAUUGUAGGCAGGCUCCACCCUCACCUCCCCUAGCACUAAGAGAAGGAGAUAGCAUGGGUUUGAUGAUAUCAGCAGCCCCGGGCCACAUGCUUUAUUUUACAGCAUUGAUUGGCAGCUUCCCAAGUCCAUGGGAUCUUUUGCUGACCUGCUUUUCAGAUCCGUAUCUCCCAGUCACACCAGAAAGAAUCCCUUCUGAGCCUGGGAAAUGUGAGCCUCGGAAACAAAAGGGCAUUUGCACUAAAGCAGAAUCUGGCAGAAAGCAUGGGUUUAAUAAAUUGCAUCAUGUGAAAGUUCCCUGUCAGAUGCACUGGCAGCAGAGAAACAGGCACACGCAUGCGGGAAGGGAGCUCGCUCCUCAUCCAAAGACUGAGUUCCUUUUGAAAAGGAAGACGCGAUAAACAGCAUCUCUCUCCAAAAUAUACAUUAUACAUGCAUAAUAGAGAGAGCAGCGUGUGGAACAUGUACAUCUAGCCUGUCUUUCCUGUGAGAGCAGAAAGAGAGAGAGCUAAGUACCCAUAGAGGGAUUUGGGCUGUGUGUUAUCAAAGGAUAUCAUAUAUCUAGAACUUGGGUCAUUUGGUUUAGUUUUUGUUUUAUUUUGGUUUUUCGCUUUGUUUUGUCUUUUUAAAAAAUCCUACUAGUACGUACACUUAAUAGUGGGAUUGUUUUUCUUCUCUCCUUUCCUUUUGCCCUGACUCUUUCCUUCUUUUCCUUCUGCUCUUCCUCCUUUUUCUUUCCUUCCCUCUUCCCCUAAAAAUAUGAAAAAAAGAUAAUCCCAAAGCUUUUAGUAUGUGACAGAGGCAUAGACAUGUGGUUCUCAACUGUGGGUCACGACCCCUUUGAGGAGACAAAGGACCCUUUUAUAGGGCUGCCUAAGACCGUUGGAAAAAAACAUAUUUACAUUACAAUUCAUAACAAUAACAAGACUAUAGUUAUGAGGUGGCAACUAACAUAAUUUGGGGGGGGGAGGGGUCACCACAACAUGAGAAACUAAAUUAAAGGAUCGCAGCAUGAAGAAGGUUGAGAACCAUUGCUCUUAGACUGAGCCUCAGAAGAUCAGAGACCUGGGUCAUAAGCAUAUAAAAGGAUGUGCUUGUAUAUUGUGGCAAUGAAGUGAGGGGGGCAGAGCCAGAACUUCUAUACAAUACUCCUUACCUUCUACAAGGAUAGAAGGCACAACGUAAGUGUUAACUACUAUGUCCAUUCCCUUCAGACCAUUUCUCCCUUUAAUCUUGACCAAAGCUGCAUUGCAAGCUUUCUGACCUGCCUUCCUGGGUUGAUCCUGAUAUCUGUGCCUGUCACCCUAGCAUUCUGCCCUCCUGCUCCUGUCUAUGACACUCAGCUAUCCCUCAAUGAAACAGUCUCCUCUAGAAGAAAGCAGUGGCAUUCUUUCUCUGGUCUUUUUGACUUUGCCACCUUCCUGGCUCAGGCACCACCCGGACCAUACUUACAGGGUCGCAUUCUGGUACCAGGGUGAGCUGCCCUUUGCCUCAGGCAGUGGAGCAGGAAGCUUGGAGCCCCCCAGAGUCUGGAUGUGUUUAGGAUCAGGCUCAAAUGCUUGGAACACUAAUUUGCAACAGGAAAUGCUGGUGGGCUGGUUGAGGGACAGGAAUUAGCAAAUCGUCUUGGCAGUCAACUGUAGGAGGAAGCCAUGUCUGGAGAUCCUUUAGGAAAUAGAUGCAUAAUAGUAAAAAUCCUUUUCAGGUGUGUUAAUUUCCUUUGUGGACAGAAAUACCCUGGACUUCGGGUUUGUGAUAUUCCAUAUUUAUUAUUAUUAUUAUUAUUAUUACUAUUAUUAUUAUUUUGGUCUCUCUUUUCCCUAAGGUUUGGCUUUACUUCUUGGGGAACACUUAAAGAUAUACAUAGUGAAUUUGAUUAUUGACAGUACUCUAAGCCCGGCUUAAUAAGCCAUGGAACAAAAUAGCUCAAGCUCCUAGAGUGACUGUAAGCCAGCCCUGGCAGCACUGAGAGCACCGCGGCUUUGGCUACACAUAUCUGUAGUACGAGCCUUUCCUCAGUAUUUCAAUUCUGCAGCAGAACCUCGGAAGCACCUUAGUUCUUCACACAGUAGGCAAAAGAUUUUGGAGAACCAAGUAGAAAUGUUUUACUAAAAAUGCAAGGAUAAGAGCCCCCUCCCCCUCAACCCCAUCCCCAGCCUCUCUGUUAAUACAUAAAGAAGUAGAAACCUAGAAAUCUGUUACAUGGACUUACACAACACACUUUGGGGGCAGAGCCAGAAGCUGUGUUUACAAUAAGAAAGUUGUUUUCCCUGAUCUAGGUUUACAUGGUUAUUCUAUGCUUUUCCUGGGUUCGAGGGUAGAAUAUUGGUUGGCUCAGAGAUUGUACUGUCUAGGCUGACCGUCAACUUGAUUCAAGCUAGAGUCGUCAGAGGAGGGAGCCUCUGUAAGAUUCCUGCCAGAGGGCAUUUUCUUAAUUAGUGACUGAAAGGGCACCAGUCCAUUGUGGGUGGUGCCAUUCCUCUGGACUGGUGAUUCUGAGUUCUAUAAGAAAGCAGGCUAUGCAAGCAGGCUGAGCAAGCCUGUAAGCAGCACCCCUCCAUGGUCUCUGCAUCAGCGUGUGCUCCAGGUUCCUGCCCUGCUUGCGUUCCUGUACUAACGUCCUUAGAUAAUGGUGAGGAAACAUAAGCUCAAUAAGUCCUUCCCUCCCCAACUUCCAGUUUUUGGUUCUGCUGUUUCAUCACAGCAAUAGAAACCCUAACAGAAAUUAUGGAGACACUGGAAAGCAGUAUACAGACUAUGUUAUUGCCUACUUAUACUAUACAAAUGAGAAAGCCAAUACUUUCUCAAAUAACUUGCCGAAGGUCACUGCUUAUUAUGAACAGUAAAGUCAAGACUGCAAGCCCAAGUCUUUGGUCUUGAAUUUCUGGGCUCUAAGUUUCUUCAUUAAUGAACUACGUCCAAUGGGCCUCUGUACCCAGAAUUUCUAGCUUUACAACAACAUUUCCUGAAUAGGUAGUAUUAGAAAGCACAUUGACUGGAGUAGAGCUUUAGAAAUGAAGGUAAAACCCUUGGUUCAAUGCUAAUACUAAGACCGCCCAUGUAAAAAGCAGGAAACCGGGCAGCUAAUGUUUUUCAAUGGAUUGGAAAGGCCACACAUAUUGGGAUGAAUAGUUUGGUGACAAGAAAUAACAGAAAGAGAGAGUUGGAAGAAUGCCCCCGGGAUGUAGGCACACAGUGGAUUAUAAGGGAGAAAUGAAGGUUACCUUCAAAGAGGUUUUUGGCUUUUUUUUCAAAGCCUGAGUUGACAGAUAGUAAAUAUCAAAGAUGGAUUGGUUGGAAAAAAAUUAAGCAGACAAUGCUCUGGAGGUGAUUUUAGGAUCAACCUCACUAUUGGUCAUUGUCAAAGAGAAAAGAGUGUGUGUGAUGGAGAGAUGGAGUCCUUCACCUAAGGCACAGAACCGGGCUAAAUCGAUACAUACUUUUGAGAAUGCCCUUCCUGAUUGAGCUUUAGAAAUUAGGUGCAAGGCUAAUGAUGGGACCAAAGAAAGCAUCUACUUGCCUUAGAAAAGGAAUAUCUAGAAAAUAGGCCAAAGGGAAGAACAUAAAAUUUGAAGCACCUUACUGUAUGACGCAACGGCAGAUAAACUAAGUCACAGUUCCAAUGUGCAUAAGGGAGGUUUGCUGUAGCCAUAAGGGACACUCUGAAGAAAGUGCUUCUUGCCAGCCUGGGCUGCCCAAGGCAAAGAAGAGGCCUCCAGACAGUUCCAGAGAUCAGAUAUACAUGCGAUGCAUGAGAAACAACCCUGAAGUUCAACAUGCUAGUCUAGACGUUCCAGGACAGGGUGGAGCCUGGAUUAGAAACUCCCUGUCCUCUAGAAGGACUAGAAGAGUUGGAAGAAUAUGCUUUCUAUUGCACUCUGCACUGGGCACCAGGAGAUACGAUCAGCUGUUAGAGAUCUGCAAGUUAAUUUGUAUUACCGGUACAUGCCCAUGCUGGAAUUCGAGUUUCUUAAGAGGAUUACUUAGUCUUGGCAGUAUUUAAAUUUAUGCUAGAGAGCUAUAGUGGGGACAUGCAAAAGUAUGUUUAGUGUAAAAAGCCAGACAGUUGAUUGUGUAGUGCGCUGGUAAGCCAAUUUUUCUCAUCACUCCCUCUCCGCGUUCCCAGACAAAACUAGGC
rnacentral:lncRNA from 1 species